rnacentral:rRNA from 1 species
UACGUAGGCAGCAAGCGUUGUUCGGAGUUACUGGGCGUAAAGAGUGCGUAGGUGGUGCCCUAAGUCUGUUGUGAAAUCUCCCGGCUUAACUGGGAGGGUGCGGUGGAAACUGGGGUGCUUGAGUGUGGGAGAGGUAAGCGGAAUUCCUGGUGUAGCGGUGAAAUGCGUAGAUAUGACACAGAACACCGAUUGCGAAGGCAGCUCACUAAGCUGUAACUGACACUGAGGCACGAAAGUGUGGGUAGCAAACAGG